CUGUUUUCAUAUUUUGGUUAGGUUGAGCCUCUGGAUGUUAUGGAACUAGUUCUGGUUUACUGAUAAGCCCUAAUUUUUGUAAUACUGGAUUGAAAGCUGCGUGUUAAGUGAACAACUUUCAUUUUCUUUCACUAUAAUAUUCUUCCUAAAACUGGCAUGAUGCCUUCUUUGACAAGAAUUUUCGAUCGUAAUCUGCGCUUUGUAAAUGUCAGUCAAUCACGUUUGAUGAGUGCUAAAGUAUUUCAGACGGCCGGGAAUGUAGCUGAUGGAGAGGAUGAAGAAUUCCGCGUUCUCAACCUGCGUGCUACACAACAAAAAGCACAUUCAAGGCGGGAGUACAAGAAACCUGAGGUUAUGCCACCUCGCAGCUUAAAAAUGGCCACCGAUCAAGAUUGGACAGCGGUGUGGCCUGCACCACGUUCUUUCCAUCCUGCGUCCGUACCUCUUCCUAUUCGUCAAGGAUUUACAGUUAAGGGAGCAGCGCCUCCAUCAAAAUUUGCUAAUGCGGAAUUAAUGAAAAUACCGAAUUUUCUGCAUCUGACUCCGCCAGCUAUUAAACAGCAAUGUGAGGCAAUUAAGAAAUUCUGUACACCAUGGCCUAAAGGUUUGGAAAAUGAAGAGAAAUGGAAACGUCAUUUCCCAAUUGACGUCGUUAGUACUGAUUAUUGUCAAUCUCUGCCUACAAUACGUAAUCCGGAGGCAAGGCGUGUCAGACUCACUGUUAAAUUAUCCGAACUUAAAUUUGAUGCUCAUGCAAAAGAUAAAUUUUUACGUUUGUUAGGUGGACGAUACAAUCACGAAACCGAUAUAAUCACAAUUGUGGCGGAUCGAUGCCCUUUGCGAAAACAAAAUUAUGAAUAUGCCAUGUACUUGUUAACCGCAUGCUAUCACGAAUCUUUCGUUACUGAACCAUGGGAGGAGAGUAAAUGCGAAGCAGAUAUGGAAUAUUACAAGUAUGAGCGCAAUAAGUCCAAAAUAUCCGUCGAGUCCAUUUUGAAUUGGGGCAAGACAGAAAAGGAAUGCAAAUCUGGAGAAUGUACAGGCUACAUAGAGAGCUUAGAAAAUCUUAUAAACGAUGGCGAAAAUGAGUAUAGUUUGAAUAAAUACAAGGAGGAAGUAGUCAAAAUGUUAGCGUUUAAAAAUUAAGAUAUGUCUUUAAAUGUUCGGCGAAAGUUAGCAACCCAAUAUUAUUCAAGUUUUAAAUAAACAUAAAAGUCGAAUGUCGAUUAUGGUUGUCGAAGACGAAAAUUCGUUUAUAUAAUUUAAUUGCAUUCUAAACAAAAUCGGGCCUGUUUGUCGAAAAAAAGGCGAAAAAGUUACAGAAUACCACGAAAUGGGAUAUUUGCCUUUGAUUACGACUGCUGUCGAUUUUCGCCUCCGACAACGGGAAUAAGAGUGAUUUAUCAAAUUUCUUAGUGAGAUACACAUUGAUAGGACGGAAGAUGACACUUAAUAAAAAAGGAAAAAAAAAGUAAAAAAAUUACAUCGAUGGUUUUUCCCUCUUAAUGCUGCCAACAUUUGUGAGGUACUAUGCCAUUUAAAAAUGUCUCUCCAAAGAGGUGUCGCACUGCGGCACGUCGUUCGGUCCCGGUUAUAAAAAGGAGGUCCCUCAUCAUUGAACUUAAAAUUGAAGCGGACAGCACUCAAUGAUGUGUGAGAAGUUUUCCCCUGUUCCUUAGUGGAAUGUUAAUGGGCAAAAUUUGAAUUUGCAUUUUGCAUAGCACAGGAAUAUUUAGAAUUUAAACACUUGAGCUGGUGAUUGAAGCAUAUUUCUAAAAUUAAAAACUUUAUACAUAUAUAAAAACCAAAAUAAAAGAAAAUCUUAAACAUAAAAAUUUUUCAAGUUUUUUUUGCCUGUUAGGGCGAGAUCAUUAAAUUUUACAAUUUUUGUUUGUUUCUCUUUCGAGACGAGCUCAAUUAAAUACGAUUGAAAUACAACAUACCAACGCACGACCCUUGAAGCCAUCACACCUAAUAUGGUUGAAAAGUCUUCUAACCAAAGACGAAACGCGUCCCAUAGUGGUUGGUGUGUGUUGCUAUCUUAGGCUUUCCUUUUCCAUUUGCAUCUCCGAUCAUUGAGCUCGUCUCGAAAGAGAAACAAACAAAAAUUAAAAAAUUUAAAUCUAACGCAGUUUUACCUAC